UCCGUAGGGUGCAAGCGUUAAUCGGAAUUACUGGGCGUAAAGCGUGCGCAGGCGGUUUUGUAAGUUUGUCGUGAAAUCCCCGGGCUCAACCUGGGAAUGGCGAUGAAGACUGCAAGGCUAGAAUCUGGCAGAGGGGGGUAGAAUUCCCCGUGUAGCAGUGAAAUGCGUAGAGAUGUGGAGGAACACCGAUGGCGAAGGCAGCCCCCUGGGUCAAGAUUGACGCUCAUGCACGAAAGCGUGGGGAGCAAACAGG
rnacentral:rRNA from 1 species